rnacentral:rRNA from 1 species
AUGCAGGCUGCUGGUGCUACUUCGGAGGAAAGGAGCAGGGGCUCGCCGUCGGCCAUGGAGAAGGGCGGCGACCAGAGCGCCAGGAAGGCGAGGCUGGAGCUGGUGGUGGCCAACGGCCCUGUGAAGCGACAGAUGGUCGUGCACGAGGCGGGCGAGAUCGUGCCGGCGGAACAGGGCCCGACGAUGGAGGUCUCCGUCAAGAUGGACGUCGCCGUGCUCCACUGCCCCUUCUGCUUCCUCCCCUUCAAGCCACCAGUCUUCCAGUGCAGCGGCGGCCACCUGGCCUGCGGCGACUGCCGCGGCGAGCGGCCCGGGAGCCAGUGGCAGUGCGAGAGGUGCGAGCGCGGCGGCCCCUUCCACAUACGCAGCACGGCGAUGGAGGCCGUCGUCUCCUCGGCCAGGGUCGAGUGCCCGCACGACGGCUGUGGGAGGUACAUCACCUACCACAAGCUCGAGGACCACCAGAGCGCGUGCCCGCACGCGGCAUGCAGGUGCCCGGUUCCCGGCUGCGACUUCGCCGGCCCGCCGCCCGCGCUCCUCCACCACCUCAACACCCUCCACUCCGUGCCCGUACAUAGCGUCCAGUACGGCAAGGUGCUCCAGCUGCAGGUGCCGGUGUCGGAGCCACGGCGCUUGCUGUUCGCGGAGAAGGACGGCCGCGCAUUCCUCGUGGUCGGCGGCACGCUUGGCCUGGGCGCGCCUAUCGCCGUGUCGGUGGUGUGCAUCAGGACGGGGGCGUCCUCGCUGCCGCACUACGCGACCAAGGUGUGGGCCAAGGGGCCACCGGCGGCGGCCAACGGCAGGGCCGACAUCGUCAGGGCGGACAUCGAGGUGACGAGCAGCAAGGAGCCCGGCGCCAUCGCCGUCGAGGACCUGACGUUCUUGACGGUGCCGUCCAAGCUGCUGGGUGGGGCUGGGCCGUCCAGGACGGUGUCUCUCCACAUUCGCAUAGACAAGAUCACCUCCUAA